GCGGGGGUCAUACAGUGGUAGUAUAUCAGCUUCCCAAGCUGAUUGCGAGGGUUCGAUUCCCUUCCCCCGCU
rnacentral:tRNA from 1 species